UUUAGUCAGGCAACGAGCGAGACCCGCACUCCUAAUUGCCAGCAUCGCGUUCGCGCGGAUGGGUACAUUAGGAGGACUGCCAGUGCCAAACUGGAGGAAGGAACGGGCAACGGUAGGUCAGUAUGCCCCGAAUGAGCUGGGCCACACGCGGGCUACAAUGGCCGGGACAGUGGGACGCUACCCCGAGAGGGGACGCUAAUCUCCUAAACCCGGUCGUAGUUCGGAUUGAGGGCUGAAACUCGCCCUCAUGAAGCUGGAUUCGGUAGUAAUCGCGUCUCAGAAGGGCGCGGUGAAUACGUCCCUGCUCCUUGCACA
rnacentral:rRNA from 1 species